UUUUAUGGAGAGUUUGAUCCUGGCUCAGGAUGAACGCUGGCGGCGUGCCUAAUACAUGCAAGUCGAGCGAACGGACGAGAAGCUUGCUUUUCUGAUGUUAGCGGCGGACGGGUGAGUAACACGUGGAUAACCUACCUAUAAGACUGGGAUAACUUCGGGAAACCGGAGCUAAUACCGGAUAAUAUUUUGAACCGCAUGGUUCAAAAGUGAAAGACGGUCUUGCUGUCACUUAUAGAUGGAUCCGCGCUGCAUUAGCUAGUUGGUAAGGUAACGGCUUACCAAGGCAACGAUGCAUAGCCGACCUGAGAGGGUGAUCGGCCACACUGGAACUGAGACACGGUCCAGACUCCUACGGGAGGCAGCAGUAGGGAAUCUUCCGCAAUGGGCGAAAGCCUGACGGAGCAACGCCGCGUGAGUGAUGAAGGUCUUCGGA
rnacentral:rRNA from 1 species